GCAAACUUGGUCAUUUAGAGGAAGUAAAAGUCGUAACAAGGUCUCCGUUGGUGAACCAGCGGAGGGAUCAUUAUCGAGUGAAAACUCCCAACCCUCUGUGAACCUACCACUAUUUUCUUCGGCGGGACGUCCCGGCGCAGGCCUCGCGGUCUGCCCGGAACCAGGCGCCCGCCGGGGGCCCAACCUAACGCUUGUAUUCUAUGAGUUUUUUCUGAUUCCCUAUAAAAUGAAUUAAAACUUUCAACAAUGGAUCUCUUGGCUCUGGCAUCGAUGAAGAACGCAGC
rnacentral:misc_RNA from 1 species